AAAACUUUCAACAACGGAUCUCUUGGUUCCCACAUCGAUGAAGAACGCAGCGAAAUGCGAUAAGUAAUGUGAAUUGCAGAAUUCAGUGAAUCAUCGAAUCUUUGAACGCACAUUGCGCCCCCUGGUAUUCCGGGGGGCAUGCCUGUUCGAGCGUCA
rnacentral:rRNA from 1 species